GUGCUUGCACUAGAAAAACUUAGCGGCGAACGGGUGAGUAACACGUAAAGAACCUGCCUCAUAGACGGGGACAACUAUUGGAAACGAUAGCUAAUACCGGAUAACAGCAUAAAUCGCAUGAUAUAUGUUUAAAAGUUGGUUUCGGCUAACACUAUGAGAUGGCUUUGCGGUGCAUUAGCUAGUUGGUGGGGUAAAGGCCUACCAAGGCGACGAUGCAUAGCCGACCUGAGAGGGUGAUCGGCCACACUGGGACUGAGACACGGCCCAGACUCCUACGGGAGGCAGCAGUAGGGAAUCUUCCGCAAUGGGCGAAAGCCUGACGGAGCAACGCCGCGUGAGUGAAGAAGGAUUUCGGUUCGUAAAGCUCUGUUGUUAGGGAAGAAUGAUUGUAUAGUAACUAUAUACAGUAGAGACGGUACCUAACCAGAAAGCCACGGCUAACUACGUGCCAGCAGCCGCGGUAAUACGUAGGUGGCAAGCGUUGUCCGGAAUUAUUGGGCGUAAAGCGCGCGCAGGUGGUUUAAUAAGUCUGAUGUGAAAGCCCACGGCUCAACCGUGGAGGGUCAUUGGAAACUGUUAAACUUGAGUGCAGGAGAGAAAAGUGGAAUUCCUAGUGUAGCGGUGAAAUGCGUAGAGAUUAGGAGGAACACCAGUGGCGAAGGCG
rnacentral:rRNA from 1 species